rnacentral:rRNA from 1 species
UAGGGAAUCUUCCGCAAUGGACGAAAGUCUGACGGAGCAACGCCGCGUGAGUGAUGAAGGUUUUCGGAUCGUAAAACUCUGUUGUUAGGGAAGAACAAGUACCGUUCUAACAGGACGGUGCCUUGACGGUACCUAACCAGAAAGCCCCGGCUAACUACGUGCCAGCAGCCGCGGUAAUACGUAGGGGGCAAGCGUUGUCCGGAAUUAUUGGGCGUAAGGCGCUCGCAGGCGGUCUUUUAAGUCUGAUGUGAAAGCCCACGGCUCAACCGUGGAGGGUCAUUGGAAACUGGAGGACUUGAGUACAGAAGAGGAGAGUGGAAUUCCACGUGUAGCGGUGAAAUGCGUAGAGAUGUGGAGGAACACCAGUGGCGAAGGCGACUCUCUGGUCUGUAACUGACGCUGAGGAGCGAAAGCGUGGGGAGCGAACAGGAUUAGAUACCUGGUAGUCCACGCCGUAAACGAUGAGUGCUAGGUGUUAGGGGGUUUCCGCCCGUUAGUGCGUGAAGUUAACGCAUUAA